GACGAACGCUGGCGGCGUGCUUAACACAUGCAAGUCGAACGGGGAACCUCUGCGGAGGGGAUCAUUGGCUAACGGGUGAGUAACACGUGGGCAACCGGCCCCCGGCUCUGGGAUAACUCGAAGAAAUUGGGGCUAAGACCGGAUGUUCACCGCUUCCCGCAUGGCUGGGGGUGAAGAGGGUGUCCGGCUGGGGAUGGGCUCGCGGCCUAGCAGCCUGUUGGUCGGGUAGUGGCCUACCAAGGCGACGACGGGUAGACGGCCUGAGAGGGUGACCGGCCACACUGGGACUGAGACACGGCGCAGAAUGCUGCGGGAGGCAGCAGUGCGGAAUAUUCCGAAGCGGGAUGCAGCGUGACGCAGUGGCGCCGCGUGGCGUAUGAGGGGCUUACGGUUGUAAACCUGUUUAAGCCGGGCCGAAGCGUAAGUGACGGUAACUGCAGGAGAAGCACCGGCCAACUACGUG
rnacentral:rRNA from 1 species